rnacentral:misc_RNA from 1 species
AGAGGAGGUCAUCGGCGUUCAUCCAGUGAUUCCUUUGCAUAUAUAGAUGUAACUAAUACUUCUAACAUAGACUAUGCAGCACAGGAUGAGUACAGAUACAAAAACAUGAUGAUGGUACCUUCUUGGGGAUCUCAAGACUUUGAUUUUCUCAAAGAUGCCCGGCAAGCCUCUCUAUAUGCUGAUGUAAGCAUGACAAAACAGAAAAAUAGAGCUUGGGAUUCAUCUUUGAAUGUUGCAACACGUAUAAGUGGGCUUCCUUCUGCAAGGGAGAAUCCACAGGAAGCAGAUGGUGUUCCAACGUCAGUGCAUGAAAAGCAAGAUUCAGAUGAAUUUUUUGAAUCAUGUAGAC